rnacentral:rRNA from 1 species
AGCGUAUAUUAAAGUUGCUGCGGUUCAAAAGCUCGUAGUUGGAUUUCUGCCGAGGGCGAUCGGUCUGCCCUCUGGGUGUGUUAUCUGUCUCGGCCUGGGCAUAUUCUUGGAGAACGCCACUGCACUUGAUUGUGUGGUGCGGUAUCCAAGACUUUUACUUUGAGGAAAUUAGAGUGUUUCACGCAGGCAAUCGCUUUGAAUAUAUUAGCAUGGAAUAAUAUGAUAGGAUAUCGGUUCUAYUUUGUUGGUUUCUAGAAUUGAUAUAAUGAACAAUAGAAAUAGUCGUGGGUAUUCAUAUUUAAUUGUCAGAGGUGAAAUUCUUGGAUUUAUUAAAGAUGGACUACUGCGAAAGCAUUUGCCAAGUAUGCUUUCAUUGAUCAAGAACGAAAGUUAGGGGAUCGAAGACGAUCAGAUACCGUCCUAGUCUUAACCAUAAACAAUGCCGACUAGGGAUCGGAGGUCGUUAUCUGUAUGACUCCUUCAGCACCUUAUGAGAAAUCAAAGUCUUUGGGUUCCGGGGGGAGUAUGGUCGCAAGUCUGAAACUUAAAGGAAUUGACGGAAGGGCACCACCAGGAGUGGAGCCUGCGGCUUAAUUUGACUCAACACGGGGAAACUUACCAGGUCCAGACACAGUAAGGAUUGACAGAUCGAAGUUCUUUCUUGAUUCUGUGGGUGGUGGUGCAUGGCCGUUCUUAGUUGGUGGAGUGAUUUGUCUGGGUUAAUUCCGUUAACGAACGAGACCUUAACCUGCUAAAUAGUUACAUAUAACCUCGGUUAUGUGGGCAACUUCUUAGAGGGACUUUGUGCGUUUAGCGCAAGGAAGUUUGAGGCAAUAACAGGUCUGUGAUGCCCUUAGAUGUUCUGGGCUGCACGCGCGCUACACUGAUGCAUUCAACGAGUUUACGACCUUGCCUGGAAAGAUUGGGUAAUCUGUUUAAACUGCAUCGUGAUGGGGAUAGAGUAUUGUAAUUAUUAAUCUUCAACGAGGAAUUCCUAGUAAGCGCGAGUCAUCAGCUCGUGCUGAUUACGUCCCUGCCCUUUGUACACACCGCCCGUCGCUCCUACCGAUUGAGUGAUCUGGUGAAUAAUUCGGACAGCAGCAGUGCUUGGAUUCUCUAAGCGUUGCAGCUGGAAGUCUAGUGAAUCCUAUUACUUAGAGGAAGGAGAAGUCGUACAGGACUUUCCGUUCACGAAAUUUCCUCUUUCCAUCUCACUUGCAGCCGCUCGACCAAGCAUCUUGAAGUGGCGUUCUCCCAGAAAAUGAGUCGGCCGAGACGGAUUGGCCCCCGGAGGGCACACCGAUGACUGCUCGGCAGAAAUCCGACACCCAACUUUUGAACCGUACCAACUUUCAUCUUUGCUGUUGGAGGUGGAAUAACCACGA